GUGAUGUCAACUCUGGGGACUGAACGAUGACGUGACUGACCUGCCCUGA
rnacentral:snoRNA from 2 species